ACGCUGGCGGCAGGCCUAACACAUGCAAGUCGAGCGGUAGAGAGAAGCUUGCUUCUCUUGAGAGCGGCGGACGGGUGAGUAAUGCCUAGGAAUCUGCCUGGUAGUGGGGGAUAACGUUCGGAAACGGACGCUAAUACCGCAUACGUCCUACGGGGGAAAGCAGGGGACCUUCGGGCCUUGCGCUAUCAGAUGAGCCUAGGUCGGAUUAGCUAGUUGGUGGGGUAAUGGCUCACCAAGGCGACGAUCCGUAACUGGUCUGAGAGGAUGAUCAGUCACACUGGAACUGAGACACGGUCCAGACUCCUACGGGAGGCAGCAGUGGGGAAUAUUGGACAAUGGGCGAAAGCCUGAUCCAGCCAUGCCGCGUGUGUGAAGAAGGUCUUCGGAUUGUAAAGCACUUUAAGUUGGGAGGAAGGGCAGUUGCCUAAUACGUAACUGUUUUGACGUUACCGACAGAAUAAGCACCGGCUAACUCUGUGCCAGCAGCCGCGGUAAUACAGAGGGUGCAAGCGUUAAUCGGAAUUACUGGGCGUAAAGCGCGCGUAGGUGGUUUGUUAGGUUGGAUGUGAAAUCCCCGGGCUCAACCUGGGAACUGCAUUCAAAACUGACUGACUAGAGUAUGGUAGAGGGGUGGUGGAAUUUCCUGUGUAGCGGUGAAAUGCGUAGAUAUAGGAAGGAACACCAGUGGCGAAGGCGACCACCUGGAC
rnacentral:rRNA from 1 species